AGGAGCGAACGGGCGGCCAUGUUGUGCGGGGGGAGGGGAGGAAGGAGUUGAGAGGAGACGGCGGAGGCUCCCUCACACAUACGGCACAAGAUGGCCGGGGAGCAGCCGCGGCUCCCGCACGGCUCCCGGGCGCGCUCCCCGCCGCUCGCUCCAGGGACACCCGGCCGGCGCCCCGGGUGCCGCGCUCGAGGGCCAAAUUGGGCCCGACACUCUGGGGGCUCCGGGGCUGCGGAGGGCGGCGAGCGGGGCUGCGGAGAGGAGCUGCGACGGGCAGGCAGCAAUGGCGCCGAGGCUGUGGAGCGCUGCCCGCGCCGCUCCCUCGCCGGGCGGGCGCGGGGCCGCCCUUGGCCGCGGGCAGGGCGAGCAGGGGAGUAGCGCCCCGUCAUUGGGGCCCCCGGUGCCGGCCAGCGGGCUGCUCUUCGCCGGGUAGAAUGCCAUGAACAAUAUCUUAUUUUCUGACUGGCUUCAGAGGAAUCGUUCAUGACUUAUUUUCUCAGGCUGUCACUGGAUAUUGUUCUUCCAAAGAUUCAGAUGACUGGUUGGGUAAAAGACCCUGAACAAAAUUCUGUACUGUUCGUGCCAGAUGUGUGGAGGAAUUGAUUUGCUCACUGUAAGCAAAAUAGCUGCUCUUGGUUGAAGGACUGAAUCCAAUCAGAUGAAGAGUGUCAAAAGGAGUCUACGAAUGAGACACCAAGAUGGCAGUUCCACUGGUGAUUGAGAGGUUGAGGAAAUGGACUAAUGCAUGAGUGCUGUGAUGUGUCUGUCCAAGAAAAGGAUGUUAAAACGUGGACUCUCGUGUUAUUAAACCAGAGAAGAUCUGGGUUGUGAUCAUCCUAUCAAAAUGGACUUUGCACUUGAAUUAAUCAGUGUCUAUCCAAUGAUGGAUCUGUUUGAGGACUGGGUGGCAGAAUUUUCCUUUCAGAUUGUGUUUGCAUAACAGGCAAAUUAAUUUGGUUGAAGAUCUGUUGCUACCCUUUUGGAGAAAAUGUAAUUUUUAAACUGACUUUUAAUAAAAGGUUUUGGUUUCUUUCACACUUUGUGUUUGUCCUUUCUGGCUGAAUAUUUUUAUUAUGUUGAUAUUGAAGUGGGUUACAUUUUUGGUUGCUAUUAAAGUGAGAAAUACUUAAACUACUAAGUACUGAAGGCAAGGCAAAAUUUUGUGCUAUACUUGAUUUCAAAUGUGGUUUUCAUUUGCAAAUUAUGCUCACUUUGUCAUGACUUCCAAUGAAUUUUUAUUCACUGGCUUGUUCAUUCAGGUGCUUAAUAUGAGGGGUUUUCAGUACUUGGCCUAUUGUCAGGGCCCUGCUGCUGAACUUUGUGAAGUUAUUUUAAGAUGGAAUUGAUACAAAUUGAAGGCUGGGAAAAUAUGACAAUAAAGGAGUACUUGAAUGUUUUGUGUAACUUUUUUAGGUAUGUUCUUUGGUUGUGUAUGUUUUGGUUGUGGGUACAGAAACUUUUCAACAUUAUUUCCUUGACAACAUACUUCCUAAACAGUCUCUUUGGUCUUAAAAUUGUUCUGUGCAAGGGUCCAACCUGCUUCCCUGCUCUUGCAUGUAGCCUUAGCAGGGCAAUACUGUACCAUGUGUUUGGGGAGAAAGAACGGGGUUGGUUUUGAUAUUGCUACAGAUGACGUGUUAACCUUCGCAAAUGAAUUUCUAAAAACCCCAGUUUCCUUCCAGCUUUCUAGUGGAUCAAAUAGUUGAACUGUAGGCACUUUUCUCUAGGUAUUUUACCUGAAACUCACAGUUGUCUUUGUUUUGUGCUGGAGGGCCAAGAUGACACACUUGGUUCUGAGAGAACCUUGGUGUUCUCUUUGAAAACCCAAACAAACCCUCCUUCAUUGUGUGUUUAGCAAUUUGCCUUGCUCAGACUUCUUUGCAAAUACCCAUUUUUGCCAUGAUGAGUUGCUCAUACCUGCUCCAUCCAGCUGUUUUGAUGGUACACACUUGCUCCAGCUUGGUUUUGCUGUGUCUUGUUUUGUGGUGGAGUUGGAUACUGGGACCAACCUAAAGGGAUCCCCAUUCAGAUGAGUGGAUUUCCUUAGUGUUACCCAAAAUUGCUUGGAAUGGUCUUGCAUUGUGGUUUUUCGGUUCUUGCAGUUGAGAUGCAAGGGGUCUUAUGUAAAUAAUUGUGGAAUUCUUUAAAAUGGACUGUGGCAAUGGAGUGUUCCUAAUGAAACCCCUUGUGGAAAGAGGAUGGGUGGUUGGAGGAUGCAAAUGGCAGGUGUGUGUGGAGGAGUUGAAGGGGACUAUGUUGGUUCUACUGGUCGAAGCCAAUGGUUUUGGAUUGUUGGGAUGCUGUGCCAUGAAUGUCCCCGUAGAACCCCAGACUAGCCCAUUACCCCUUUCCCCUCCAGUGGCCCCCCAGUGUCUGAUGGCUCCGUAUUGUUGUGAUGCUUAUAAAUAUCCAAGAUGUCCUUGUGCUUCGAGGAGUUGGUUUUGCUCGUGGAAGACAAAUGGUGGUUGGAAUCAAGUGGUCGGGGUUGCUUGGAUCACCUCCAUUCCCUCAGUGGUACAUCCUCUCAAUUCCAGGAGGUUGUGUUGGAGAUGUCCAUUGAUUUCCAGUUCUGCAGCUUGGCUAUUGUGCAGCUUUAAAAUUAAUUUGUCAUGUUAAAAUCUGUUACAGACCAUGAAUGGGUUAAGAGAGUGCAUUAAAAGUAACUGGUUUAAUGAGCUUGGACUGACUUGAUGCAGUGCCUUGGUGGAGCAGAUGGAAAUGGUGUGCCUGGUGCGUUUGAGUUGGUGGGGAAAACCACUAGGGAGGCGCUGUUGAGCUGGAGGGGAAUAUCGACCCUACUGGGCUGGAUUGGGAGCGGGUGAUGCUCCUGUCCCACACUGCCAGUGCCAGUGUUGGGAGGUGAAGGGAAGAGCUGUUGUCUGGGGAUUGUGCCACUGAACUGGGGGGAUGCUCCCCCUUGGGUGGGGUGACCCCCAGGGUGGGCUGUUUGGUGCCUGCAUGGCUGUGAGCUCCACUCCCAUGCCUUCAAAAUGGCUUGUAAUAGCACCACUUCCUGUCCAGGGAGGAAGUAAUUUUAGCCCAGGCACUGAAAUAUUUAGCAAAUCUUUUAAACAAAAGGCACAAAUUCCAUUUCUUUCUGGUUUCCAAAGGGUGCCUGAGCCACAUGGGGUUAAGAUGCCCCAUGAUCUGGGGUAGUUGGAAAGAGCCAGGGCUGUGGGGUAGCAGGCACCCUUUAGGUGGAGGCUCUCUCUUUUUUUGGUAGAAAUGAAGGGGUGGGUCUAUGGUACAUCACCUGAGUUGUGGGGUAAAUGUAGAGAGUGUCAAUCAAAGGCAGAGCUCAGAGCUGGGAAGGAGCUCUAGAUGGCGGCUGUGCCUUAGAGAGAGCGCGCUCAGCUCCGUGCCUUCCCCAACACUUUACGCAACUUUCCCUAACUUUCGGGCAGCCUCAGGGGGCCCCCACAGCCCCUUGCCUCUCCUAGGCACUAAUCGGGGGCUGAGUGGACCUUUUUCGGGCAGAAAAGCAGCUUUUGAGGGCUCCCUUUUCGUGCCUUGCUGGAAAGAAGAAGCCGUGGAGAGAGCCCAGGUCGUUGUUUUUCCAGCUUAGAAGCCAUGGCGUACCUCCAUUUUUGUGCGCUCUCCUAAUGAGCUUUUUCCCCCGGACAUUUUUGUACUAAUUAUUGCUUCUUUUGCUUUAUCGGCAGCAUAUUUUUGGGAUUAGUAUAUAUAUUUUUUUUUCGUUUUCUGAAAUUUGUAUUUUAUCGGUAUAAUUUUAAGUAUUUUGGAUCUAAUGUUUUUCCACUACCCGAAACUAAUAUCGACUUGGUCCUGGCGGCGGUGCACGGAUCAGUAAAUACCUGGGCACAGGACUUCAAAGCAAACAGACACCCCUGACCCCCUCUUAAUAUUUUAAGAAUAAAAAGAUGAUGAGAAAUAAGGACAAAAGCCAAGGAGAGGAGGGUUCAGUCCACAGCAAUGCAUCGAGUCACUCGGCAUCCGAAGAAGCCUCUGGCUCUGACUCUGCAAGCCAGUCUGAAAGCGAGCAGGGCAGCGAAUCAAACAGCAGCUCGGAGUCCUCUGAGAGUCAGUCUGAAUCCGAAAGUGAAUCAACGGGUUCCAAAUCCCAGCAGACCCCUCCUGAAACCAAAGAAAAACCAGCUUCUAAGAAGGAAAGGAUAGCAGAUGUUAAAAAGAUGUGGGAAGAAUAUCCUGAUGUUUAUGGGGUUAGGAGGUCAAACCGAAGCAGACAAGAACCGUCACGAUUUAAUAUAAAAGAUGAGGCAAGUAGCGAAUCUGAAAAUGAGAGCCCAAAAAGAAGACGUCAGAAGCAGUUGAAAAGAAAAAUUAAAUGGAAAAGAGAGGUCUCUGCUGGAGAGGAGGAUGAAGAUGGAGGGGAGCAAGGGACCAGUGGAGAGAGUGAGCCUGAACCGAAGAAAAUUAAAGCAAGAAGACCUGUCCAAAGGAGAACAGUGGCCAAAACUGGUGUUAAAAAGCCCCACAAAGUCCAGCGUGGGAAGAGAAAGAAACCAGACUCAUCUGAAGAUGACGAUGAUGACGAAGAUGAUGAGACCCCCAAGAGACAAACUCGACGAAGAGCAGCCAAAAAUGUCAGUUACAAAGAAGAUGAUGAUUUUGAGACAGAUUCUGAUGACCUGAUAGAGAUGACUGGGGAAGGAGCUGAUGAACAGCAAGACAACAGUGAAACUAUUGAGAAAGUCUUGGACAUCAGGCUUGGAAAAAAGGGAGCCAUUGGUGCUUCCACCACCGUUUAUGCGACCGAAGCCAACGGCAACCCCAGCGCGGACUUCGAUCCUGAAAAGGAUGAGGGGGAAGUUCAGUACCUGAUCAAAUGGAAAGGCUGGUCAUACAUCCACAGCACCUGGGAGAGCGAAGAGUCCUUGCAGCAGCAGAAAGUGAAGGGCCUGAAAAAGCUAGAAAACUUCAAGAAAAAAGAGGAGGAGAUCAAGCAAUGGCUGGGCAAAGUAUCACCUGAAGAUGUGGAAUAUUUCAACUGCCAACAAGAGCUGGCCUCAGAGCUGAACAAACAGUAUCAAAUAGUGGAGAGAGUAAUUGCUGUGAAGACCAGCAAGUCUGCCACGGGACAUUCGGAUUUCCCAGCAAACAGUCGCAAAACAUCCUCAAAUGACCCCGAAUACCUGUGUAAGUGGAUGGGGCUGCCCUAUGCUGAGUGCAGCUGGGAAGAUGAGGCUCUGAUAAGCAAGAAAUUUCAGCACUGCAUCGACAGCUUCAACAGUCGGAACAACUCCAAAACGAUUCCCACCCGGGACUGCAAGGUGUUGAAGCAGAGGCCGAGGUUUGUUGCCUUGAAGAAGCAGCCGUCGUACAUCGGCGGUGAGAACCUGGAGCUGCGGGAUUACCAGCUGGAGGGCCUCAACUGGCUCGCUCACUCCUGGUGCAAGAACAACAGUGUGAUCCUGGCUGACGAAAUGGGACUGGGCAAGACGAUUCAGACAAUAUCAUUCCUGUCAUACCUGUUCCAUCAGCACCAGCUCUAUGGCCCUUUCCUGGUGGUCGUGCCCUUGUCCACUCUCACCUCGUGGCAGAGGGAGUUUGAAGUGUGGGCGCCCGAGAUAAACGUGGUGGUUUACAUUGGAGACCUCAUGAGCAGGAACAUGAUACGUGAAUAUGAGUGGAUUCAUUCUCAGUCUAAAAGAUUGAAAUUUAAUGCACUUAUCACAACAUAUGAGAUCCUCCUCAAGGAUAAGACUGUUUUGGGAAGUAUUAACUGGGCCUUUCUAGGCGUGGAUGAAGCCCAUCGGUUGAAAAAUGACGACUCUUUGCUGUACAAAACAUUGAUUGAUUUCAAGUCCAACCACAGGCUGCUGAUCACCGGCACCCCGCUUCAAAAUUCACUCAAGGAGCUCUGGUCCCUGCUGCAUUUCAUCAUGCCAGAGAAGUUUGAGUUCUGGGAGGAUUUUGAAGAGGAUCACGGGAAAGGUAGAGAGAAUGGCUACCAAAGCCUUCACAAAGUCCUGGAGCCUUUUCUCCUACGAAGAGUGAAGAAGGAUGUGGAGAAAUCUUUGCCAGCCAAAGUGGAGCAGAUCCUCCGGGUGGAAAUGUCUGCUCUGCAGAAACAGUAUUACAAGUGGAUUUUGACAAGAAACUACAAAGCUCUUUCAAAGGGAACAAGGGGAAGCACAUCUGGUUUCCUGAACAUUGUGAUGGAAUUGAAAAAGUGCUGCAACCAUUGCUACCUUAUCAAACCUCCUGAGGAAAACGAGAGAGAGAAUGGCCUUGAGACCCUGCAGUCUCUGAUCAGGAGCAGUGGAAAGCUAAUUCUCUUGGACAAGCUGCUGACCAGACUGCGGGAAAGAGGCAACAGAGUGCUGAUCUUCUCCCAGAUGGUGAGGAUGCUGGACAUCCUGGCAGAGUACCUGACUAUCAAACACUACCCUUUUCAGCGCUUGGACGGCUCGAUCAAGGGGGAGAUCCGAAAGCAGGCGCUGGAUCACUUCAACGCCGACGGCUCCGAGGACUUCUGUUUCUUGUUGUCAACACGAGCUGGAGGGCUUGGAAUUAAUUUGGCCUCUGCUGAUACUGUUGUUAUCUUUGACUCGGACUGGAACCCCCAAAAUGAUCUUCAGGCUCAGGCCCGAGCUCACCGGAUUGGACAAAAAAAGCAGGUGAAUAUUUACCGCCUGGUCACAAAGGGGACAGUGGAGGAGGAGAUCAUUGAGAGAGCCAAGAAGAAAAUGGUGCUGGAUCAUUUGGUUAUCCAGCGUAUGGACACCACUGGCCGGACUGUUCUGGACAACAACUCUGGGAGAUCCAACUCAAAUCCUUUCAACAAAGAGGAGCUGACAGCUAUUCUGAAGUUUGGAGCUGAAGAUCUCUUCAAGGAGCUUGAAGGAGAAGAGUCAGAGCCUCAGGAGAUGGACAUCGAUGAGAUUCUGCGUUUGGCUGAAACACGGGAGAAUGAAGUGUCCACCAGUGCCACCGAUGAGCUCCUCUCCCAGUUCAAGGUCGCCAACUUUGCAACCAUGGAGGAGGAAGAGACAGAGCUGGAUGAGCGGUCCCAGAAGGACUGGGAUGAUAUCAUUCCAGAGGAACAGAGGAAAAAGGUGGAGGAGGAAGAAAGGCAGAAAGAGUUGGAGGAAAUCUAUAUGCUGCCUCGAAUCCGGAGCUCAACUAAAAAGGCUCAGACAAAUGACAGUGAAUCAGAUGCAGAAACUAAGAGAAGGCUGCAGAGAUCAUCUGGAUCAGAAAGCGAGACUGACGACACCGAUGACGAGAAGAGACCAAAGCGCAGGGGACGUCCUCGGAGUGUUAGAAAAGACACUGUGGAAGGAUUUACUGAUGCUGAAAUCAGGAGGUUUAUCAAGGCUUACAAGAAGUUUGGAUUGCCUCUUGAAAGGUUGGAGUGUAUUGCCCGAGAUGCUGAGCUGGUGGAUAAAUCUGUGGCUGAUCUGAAACGUUUAGGGGAGCUCAUCCACAACAGCUGUGUGUCAGCAAUGCAAGAAUACGAGGAGCAGCUGAAAGAAAAUCCAGGGGAAGGGAAAGGACCUGGAAAAAGACGAGGUCCUACUAUCAAGAUUUCUGGUGUCCAAGUCAAUGUGAAAUCCAUCAUCCAGCACGAAGAGGAGUUUGAAAUGCUGCAUAAAUCCAUUCCCGCAGACCCAGAGGAAAGGAAGAAGUACCGCCUGACGUGCCGUGUCAAAGCUGCUCAUUUUGAUGUAGACUGGGGAGUGGAGGAGGAUUCUCGCUUGUUAGUGGGAAUUUACGAGCAUGGUUAUGGAAACUGGGAGCUAAUUAAAACAGAUCCGGAAUUGAAGUUAUCUGAUAAGAUCCUACCUGUUGAGACAGAUAAGAAACCUCAGGGAAAACAGCUCCAGACCCGCGUUGAUUAUCUGCUGAAACUGCUGAAGAAAGACCUGGACAAGAAAGAAAACAUGAAAGAUGGGGAAGAGGGCAAGCUAAAGAAGAGGAAACCACGAGUAAAGAAAGAGAACAAGGCUCCCAAAGUCAAAGAUGAGCAUGGGAAUGAACUCUCCUCUCCUCGGCACUCGGACAACCAGUCAGAAGAAGGUGAAGUCAAGGAGGAUGGCUUGGACAAGAGCCCGGUGAAAAAGAAACAGAAGAAGAAAGAGAACAAAGAGAACAAGGAAAAACAGACAUCCUCUAAGAAAGAAAAGGAAAGUGAUAAAGAGAAAAAGAAAACAAAAGACAAGAAAGAGAAGCCUAAAGGUGGAGAGGCCAAAUCUGGGAGCAAAGGGAAGAGAUCACAAGGUCCCGUCCACAUUACUGCAGGGAGUGAACCGAUCCCCAUUGGCGAAGAUGAGGAUGAUGAUCUGGACCAAGAAACAUUCAGCAUAUGCAAGGAAAGGAUGAGACCAGUCAAAAAAGCACUGAAGCAGCUUGAUAAGCCUGAUAAAGGACUGACAGUUCAGGAACAGCUGGAGCACACACGCAACUGCCUCCUAAAAAUUGGUGAUCGCAUCUCUGAGUGCCUUAAAGCCUACACUGACCAGGAUCACAUCAAGCUAUGGAGAAGGAACCUAUGGAUAUUUGUGUCAAAAUUCACAGAAUUUGAUGCCAGAAAACUACACAAACUCUACAAGAUGGCUCAUAAGAAAAGAUCACAGGAAGAGGAGGAGCAGAAAAAGAAGGAGGACACGUCCAGCAUGAAGAAGCCGUUCCGCCCAGAGCCUUCAGGCUCCAGCCGUGAUUCCGUGAUGUCCCAGUCUCACGUGCCUCACAACCCUCAUUCCCAGAAGAUCCAUAUGCCCCCUUCCCACACCCAGCAGCAGAUGCACGGGCACCCACGUGACAACUAUGGCCACCCAAACAAGAGACACUUCAGCAACACAGACCGAGGAGACUGGCAGAGGGAUCGAAAGUUCAACUAUGGUGGCAACAGCAACCAGAUGUGGGGUGGGGAGAGGCACCACCAGUACGAGCAGCACUGGUACAAGGACCACCACUAUGGGGACCGGCGGUCGCGGGGGGAUCCCCACCGGAGCUCCGGGAACUACAGACCAAACAACCUCUCCCGCAAGAGGCCGUACGAGCAGUACAACAGCGACCGAGACCACAGGGGCCACCGAGACUAUUAUGACAGGCACCACCACGAGUCCAAACGUCGACGAUCCGAUGACUUCAGGCCUCAGAACUACCACCAGCAGGAUUUCCGACGGAUGUCUGAUCACAGGCCGCCCAUGGGAUACCAUGGCCAAGGACCUUCGGACCACUACAGGUCCUUCCACACAGACAAACUGGGGGAUUACAAACAGCCCCUCCCUCCAUCUCACCCUGCAGUGUCGGACCCUCGCUCUCCCCCCUCUCAGAAAUCCCCCCAUGAUUCCAAGUCACCUCUCGAUCACAGGUCACCUCUGGAUAGGUCAUUGGAACAGAAAAACAAUCCAGAUUAUAACUGGAACAUUCGGAAAGCAUGAAGAGACUGAGAGGGGAAAGCGCACGUCUGAAAUACUUGGAUUGGUGUGGCGGUGGCUGCUUUCUCCAAGCCAGCAAUGAGAAAUUCUGAACAUGCUGCUAUCAUCUGGCUGGGUCAAGGAGGAUUAUGGGGGAGUGGGUGGAGGAAGAUUUUCCCUAAUUCUUGAUUCUGGUUUGGAUUCCCAUUUCCUUUCCCCUUUUUUACCAUUGAACUGUUCUAUCAUGGAACCAGCCUUGCUGCCUCGGUCUUUGUUUUGUUUUUGUUUUCCUCAGUCCAAUGGACCCAAGGGAAUUUUCCCCAACCAGUGUUUCCUCAGAAGGAGAAGGCAGAUCAGUGCUGCUUAGGAUGGUGCAGAAGGCUGUGAGCCUGCUCCAACUUGACGUUAUAUGAGAGAUGCUGCUUUGGGAUUGAGGAUAAACUGGUUGGGCUGGAUUUGUGUGUAACCAGCAUGGGGCAAUGGGAGGAUGUAUUCAAGGAGGGACGAGAAAGACCCUCAGCAGCCAACUUUGGUUGAAAGAGGGACUUAACUGUCCCUGCAGAGUGAGCUAUGCUGGUGACAAUCCAUCACUUUCCUGGCCAUGUUAUCAUUUCCAUGUCUUUAUCCAUUUCAAGAAACUGGCUCUGCUUUGAUUUCUGUUGUCCUCUGCAACAGGAGAGCUGGGGGUGAUCUUCCUCCCAUCUCCAGGGCUGGAACUGGCAAAUCUUGACUCUGGGGAGGGCGGGAGUUGGGAUAUGUGAAAAAAAGACUGACUUCCUUAGCAAAGGCUUAGUUCACUUCUAACCAGUAGUAAAGAAAUCGGGGUGAGAACAGUAUUUCCCAGUGGACAGGGAUCAGGAAUUCAUAACAAAAUGCUUCUCUUCUGGCAUGGGCAGCUUGGGUGGUCCAGGAACUAACAGGUGCUGGCUGGGAGCUGCAAGAUCAAAAGAUAGCUCUGGGCAUCUGGGGAUCCUGGAACUUCCAAUCUCCCCCCCACUGAAGUGCUCUGGUCUUUGGGCAAAUAAUUUCUCUCUGUGCUUCAUGAAGCAGUGAUCACAAACCUUUACUGCAAUUGAAGGAUAAAGGAUGGUAGAACAAAGGGAAAUAGGAAUCCACUGAUCAGGAAUAGUCACCUUCCUGCCACCCUUCCAGCAGUGACUCAGAAUUGCUAAAAGUACCUGCACUUGCAGACCUUCUGUCUGUCUAAAUUGGAAAUAAGCCUGGGGACUGAGCACCUCAGUGAGCAGGGAGCAAAUAAGGAAUUCAAGACUGAUCCUUGGAGCAAACGUCUUAAGAGCCCAGCAUGGCAGAGGGAAAAGAGGAGUCUGCAGCCCAGUUCAGUGGACUUCAGGGCAAACACUCCAAGUAUUCAAGCCACAGCAUUUGAUGCAAACCAGCAUCCAGCCUGGACUUUGUUGUGGUUGUGCACAGAUUGCUGGCCAGAAGUAGUUUGGGUGAUUAUUUUUCAGGUUGGAGUUCCCUGGACACCACAAAGCUCUCCCAAAAGACAGACUGCCCAGAACGUGGUGUCUGGGGAUGCAUCACCUCCCAGAGCUCAGUGUUAAAGACCAGGCUGUUCCAGACUCCCCUCUUUGAUGAGAGAUAGAAGCUGGGCCUCCUGUUAAGAUGCCAGUAUUUGACCCUAAUAAGCUGUGAUGUCCUUUCCCCAAAAGACUGAGGGCAGGUGGGUGUUCAGGGCUGGUUUCCUGACUCCAGCCAGUGCCUUGGAAGGCGCAUGCAAACCAACACUAAUAUAUCCCAUGUCCCCUCCACGCAGUGUAUCCCUGGAAAUCUGCUGCCGUCACUCCUUCUGAGCCUGCUGCUUUAACGGGACACACGGGAAGGGUUUUUCUUCCUUUUUGUUUUUAUUUUGCAAGAUUUCCACCAAAUUCAGGGCAGUUUUGUUUCCUUAGGGGCACUUGCUGCCCUGAGAAAGUGUUACACUUGUGUUUACCUGUGCUGGGUGAGGUUAAUGCAAGUCUUCCACAGUCCCCCUUGGAGCUGGCAGGCAGUGGGAGGUGUGGAGAGAGCAUGUUUCCGCAGCUUUUCCCACUAAGCUGUGACUGCAGCCUGUGGCAUUCAACAAAGAGGUCCUUUCUUUUCAGAGGUAUUAGCUUUUAAUGUGAAAAUGGAAGAAACCUCAGAAGGGGCAAAGAGAAUUGCUCUUUUUGUCCCCAAGCGGUGCUGUCAUGGUGGGAAGUUCGUGCCAUACUCUUGUAGCAAAGGCAAUACUGGCCAACCAGUGUUAGGGUUGGUGCAGGAAAACUUUGAACCCCGGCAAGAGGCAUUUUCUGUGUCCAGAUGUGGGGGUUUCUGCACAUCACGGGUUCCAGGUAUGAGGUUGGUUUGGGUUUCCUUCUUGUGCAACAGCAACAGCUUUAUGCUUGUCCACCAGAGAGUUGUCCCUGCUGUCACUUCAUAGUGAUGCUGAAGGCACAUCGUUUUGUCCACUUGUGGUGGGCAGGUCUUUGCUGAGUUUGGUUUUAGUGAAGCUGGAGAAUGAGAUUUGGGAGAAAGUUCUCCCUGAGCACACACACACGCAUUUUAUGUCCCCUCAGCAUAGGGACCAUGACCAGACCCAGUCGCUUGGAUAUGAGUGGGAUCAGAGGGGACACGUCCACAGCCAUAAACUUCCCUGUGGUGCUUGUGUCAACACCAGGUACAGCUCUUCCUUCCGAACCGCCUGCUGGAUUCCCUCCAGCCACUUUGCAGGAAAAAGUACCAACUUGAUGGGGUUUUAUUUGAAAAAAAAAAAAAAAGUUUUUUAGCCUGACCUCUUUGGAAAUGGUGUAAAGUUAUGAAUUCACAUGUUGCAAGUCCUGCAGACCAAAACCUGCUGUGGGGACAGGCGAUGUGGUCCCAACCAAAAUGGAUGUGUAACAACGCACUGAAGUCCUUGUGUGAACGGUUUGUGAUCCUCACAAAAAUACUAUUCUGCUUUCACCCAUUUCCUCCCAACCUCUGCCUCCCCUCCAGGGAGAGAAGGACUCCUACUGUAAAAAAUGCGGACUUUUAAACCUGUUGACUAAAAACAGUAAUUAAUAUUAAUUUAUAUUUGUGAAAGAAAUGCCACUGUCCUAGUGAUUUCUGAUGUAAAUAUGUUGUUUAUAUAGUAUGUAUGAAAUUUUCCUACCUUGUAAAACUGCUGUACUUUUGAUUCUUGUAUAUUAAAAAGUGUUACUGAGAUUUUCA